AGAUAAAAGUGAUACACAUAUCUACUCUCACCCCCCUCCCCCAAACUUAUUACAGAACAUAAGUUCGAAAAUAAGUUUGGAGGGAUGAUGAUAUGUGUGUCACUACUCACAGAAACACAUGCUCCACGGUGGUGAUAUGAACAAGGCGCGAGUUCCCGCAUCUUCCAAGCUCAACACUGCACUAAAAACCCCAAACAAAACAACGAAACAAAAAGAAACAAAACGAAACUAAAAGAACGAAAAAAACAAAACAAAGAAAAACAGUUGGGUUACCUCCCAACAAGUGCUUAAUUUAACGUCUAGAGCUCGACGAUACCUCAAAAACUCAUGGAGGUCGGAAACAGCACUCUAACCAUUGGAAAGCUUUUCUACUCUUGGGUGCCCUCUCCACCAAAACACUUCUCUUGGCUCGAACAUCCUCCACAAGCAUUGCCCCCUUCUCAUUCUUGUUCCGAAAAAUCCGGAAUUUCACUUUCUUCUUCUUGGGGGUAUGGGUUUUCAAAGACCCCCCAUCAUGCUCCAAAAACAAACACAUCUCAAAAUUCAGAACUUCUUUUGGCUUUGGAGUUUUUUUCUUGGCUUCAUACUUGGGCAGCUCAUUCUUCUCAACCUCUUCAUCCUCCGAAUUUGCUAGAAAACUGUCAGCCAAAUUAAUCACUUCAUUCUGGGGAACUUCCUUUGGUGGAGGUUUCUUGAAAAUCACAGUUUCCCCAUAGGCUCCCAAUGUCAUCGUCCCCCUUUGCAUAUCUAGCUUUGCUCCACAUGUGGCAAGGAAAGGUCUCCCUAACAGCAAAGGCAUCUUUGGAUCCUCCGGAAUAUCCAACACUACAAAGUCGACUGGGAAGAAAAAAUCACUCACCUUCACAAGCACAUCUUCCGCAACUCCUAGAGGUUUAGAGCAAGACUUAUCAAUAAGCUGAAUUGUCUUGUUGGUUGGCUUCAAAUCCCCCAGCUGCAACUUCCUAUAAACUUUGAGAGGCAUGACAUUUAUGCUUGCUCCGGUGUCACACAUCACUUUCUCAAACAAUGACUUUCCAAUCUUCACAGGAAUAUUGAAGCUGCCCGGAUCUUCUCUCUUUGGAGGCAACUGAUACUCCUUCACUGCGAGCACCUCCUCAAAUUCAUUGAAUGCACUCUUCUUUUCCAUCACAGCCUUCACAAUUUGCACCUCAUUUGGCUUGUUUCUCAAGAUCUCCACGGAAGGAAUAUUCACAGCCAACUUCUUAAAUGUCUCCAAAAAUUUGGAGCUUUGCUCAUCUAAUCUUGGCCUCGGGAAUGGAAGAGGGGGAGAAACAGAAAUACCUUCAUCCUCAACUGAAUUAUCAACCACCCGGAUGGAAUGACAUUGCUGAUUUUGCUGAGGCUGUUGAUGUUGGCUCUUCGGAUUGAACUGAGUGUUGCUAGGAAAUUGGCCUGGCUUGUGCUGCGCAGCUGCUUGGUUAGCCAUCUGACCAACUUGAGUCUCCAACAUCUGCACCUGCUUAGACAAUGCUGAAAAAUUAUUCUCCAUGUUAGAAAUUUUGGUCCCCAUGUUUCAGUUUGCCUCCAUCCCAGUCAUCUUCACCAACAUCUGCUUCAUCAUGUCCUCCAGUCGAAUCCUUCUUUGGCUCAUUGAUGACUCCUCCACUAGACACAGAAAAUCCCGGUGGAGGUUGCAAAGCAUUGUUGGGAUUGCUAUAGGCUAGAUUCGGGUGUGGGCGCCCUCCUGGCUGAUAUUGCUGCUGAAACUGCUGCCCUCUGUUGUACAUUCCUGGCUGUACCUUCUGAAAAUUUCCAUAGUUUUGGCCAUUGACAAAAUUUACGUCUUCUAUGCAUAUGGGAUCUCUCACAGCUUGCUCCUGAUUUCCAAUGGUCAAAGCAUUAAUCUUAGUAGUCAGCUCUGCCAGCUGCGUAGCAAUCGCUGCCUGCUGUGUAACCAUCGUUGCCAUAGGAUCAGAGCUGGAAGCAGCUGCCACCCUUUUCAAUUGUACUCUCUCUGAUGGCCAUUGAAAACUCGUAGCAGCCAUACUCUCAAUGAUGCUCCACGCCUCGGAACUGCCUUUCUGAAGCAGAGAACCUCCUGCAGCUGUGUCCAAAUGCAUUCUUGUACGCUCUCCACAAGCAUUGUAGAACAUGAUAAUGAGCGUGCCUUCAUCAAAUCCGUGGCUCGGACACUUUCUCAACUUCUCUUGAUACCUCUCCCAUGUAUCUGCCAGCUUUUCUCCCUCAAACUGCUGGAACUGCACAAUGUCCAUCUUUAAUUUCAGGGUCAGGCCAGGAGGAUGGAACUUGCGUAGGAAAGCUUGAGCUACAUCUUCCCACGUAGUAGUUGCACUCAAAUUCAAUGUAUGAUACCACGACUUCGCUUUAUCCCGCAGUGAGAAAGGGAAAAGACGAAGACGGAUAAUAUCAUCAGAUACUCCAUUCAUCUUUACAGUGCUGGAAAGCUCCAGAAAUUGCGCCAGAUGCGCAUUAGGAUCCUCUAUAGCGUGUCCUCCAUACUGGUUCUGCUGGACCAUCGUGAUCAAACCAGUCUUCAGCUCAAAAUUAUUGGCAUUAAUACGGGGAGGUUCCUGAUACUCAUACUGAGGAACGAACAUCUCUGCAAUCGGAGGCUGAUUCUGAGCUUCUUUAGCAGCUUGAGCGUCCAACAGCUGUUGCAGCUGCUCCUGUAGAGCACGAAUCUGUUCAUCAGUAGCCAUCGUAUGCAGUGCCUGAAAAAAAAAUGAGAAUUAGAAAAAUAAAAAUAAAAAGAAAACAGUAAACGCCUGAAGUACUACUAAGUCCUAUCGGAAAUAUUAAAGAAACUUCUAAUCAGUCCCCGGCAACGGCGCCAAAAAGUUGAUCACUAAUUUCUUAGCAAUAAAAAUACUGCAACUAACACAGUGUAAUUGUAGCAAGCAACAAGUAAUCGAGUAUCGUAUCCACAGGGACUGACACAACGAAACAACUCUAGCUAUCUCCUAAACAGACUAUAACAGUAGACAGGCAAACGAAUAAAAAGAAGGUUUGAUUGACUUAAACUAAAACGCAAAUAGCAAUAAAUUCAAAACACGUAGGAAAAAUCAAAUAUAAAAGACAACUGAUCCUAGGGUAGUAAAUUCAUUAAUUAAAUCUACGCAAUAAAUCUAUUAAUCCUAUGUACCAGUUUAAUCCAGUUAUGAUGAGAGAUCACAGAACUAUUCACAAGCUUCUCUAACGAACACCUAUGAAAGUAGAUUAAUUUAUCCCCCUUUACAUUCAAGACUCCAAGGAAUAAAUUAACUCCCAAGCGUACACAAAGAAUAGCUCCCUAUAGCUUCACCUCUUGCAUUCAAGACUCAAGGUAAUCAUAUCAUCAUUCCUGAAUCGCUAACAUUAUCCAGCUCAAACGAAACUAACAUGAAACUAUUGGCCAAAUAAUUCACAAGAAAUUAAGCACCAGGAAUCAUGAAUCACAAGUUUGGAGGGCAAAUUGAUAUCAAAAAUCAACAACAUAUAAUCACUUGUACAAACCUAGUUCAGAUAAAGAACUAGCUAGACAUCAUAAAAUAAAAAAAGCAUAAAUAAAAAAAAGCAAUUAAAUAAAUAAAUAGAUAAAACCCGGAAGAAAUUGAUGAACAGCUUGAAUCUUGAGGAAAAUAACUAAUCUAUGAAAACUGAAUAAAAAGAAAGAAAGGGGAAAGAGUGAAAGAUGUGUCUAUAGGUCAGGGAAAGGACCUAUAUAUAGGCACAGAGAUAAAUACAGUGUAAAGCUCGAAAAUACUGAUAAAAUCCGAAAAUCCGCAAAAUCCCGAAAAUUCGGAAAUUCCCGUCGGGCACUAUUCACUGCUGCGCGCGCUUUCUUGUUUGGCCAUACUUUCUCGUCCGAACUCCGAUUUCGACCGUUUGCGCCUACAACUCGUAUCGAGACGAUUACAACUUUCAUUAAGAACAGUCCAAAUUCGAACUCCAUAUUUCUGUAAAAUCAUCAAAGUCGAAAGUAACAUAUUUCACAAGAUAAACAAUUUAAGCACAAAACAAUCAUCCAACACUCAAUUUCCUAUAAAAUUACAUCAUAUGAAAUUAAAAACCAUGGAAACAUGAGUGUUAUCAACUCCCCCAAACUUAAGCAUUGUUCGUCCUCGAAUAAUGAGAAGAACACAAUCAAUACACGAAUGGGUAAGAAAUCUAGUCAUCAUGCCUCCGAAAAAUAAAGAAUGAUAGAAUUCUCAAAUCCUCAAUAAUUAAGCACAAAAUCACCAAUAAACACAACUAUAGCAAAAUCAACCUUGACAUUCCAAACAAUUGAAUCUCACAAGGUAUGUGUAUCACUCAACUCUCAAUUUGAUGGAAUAUAUAGGACGUGUAUGCUCUCAUCGAAUUCAAUGCAAUGCAGAUCUCUUACCAUAGGCUUGCCAAUCGUCUACAAUCUCCAUCGCUAAAAGUGUGCCAGGACUAAGAUCAAAAAGGUCUUUUUCUUGGGUUAUAAUGUAGGGACAUUGGUUAAGGUAGGGAAAUAUAGGCUAAGUGACUCAAAAUAAUAAGAACACCAACCUUAUCUUCACAAUCAAGUAUGGAAUAAAUUCCAUCUUCCCCCAACUAUCCACCAUAAUCACACAAUCAAGGGAUUAAUCAUCAAAACAAACUAAACACUCUUUUAUGCUCUCCAUUUAUUUCCAACAAACAAAGUCGAUUUUCUAAAAAUUUCUCAAUAAACAUCGACUUAACUUUUUCUCUUUUCUUUCUUUUUCUUUUCUUUUUUUUCUUUUUUUUUCUAACUUUUUUUUUCUUUUCCACACUUUUCUAGAGCUUCAUAAGAGUAAAUAGUAGCACAAUUCAUCCCUUCUUUUUCAACCCACUAUGAAUAUUCACCACACAAAGAUCCCAUAUACUACAUCACCCCCUAUCAUCCAGCUAAAGAAUAAAAGCUAAAUAGGCUCAAAGUGGAUAACAAAGGAUAAAUUUUUUUCAUAAGGACAGUGUUUGGGAUAAAAUGUGGCUAACAAAAGAUGGCCUAAAAUCAUCUCCUAAUCCUGGGCACAACAGCAACCUCGACACAGAAACCAUGGCAAGUUCUAGAAGAUCACCACAUGCAUGACAAAACUCACAACAAAGAAUAAACUGUGUAUGAUAAACAGUAUGGCUCAAAAUCUCACAGGUUUAUUCAACGUCUAAAAGUCAAGGUCAAAAUCACUCUAGAAUUAUGCAAAUUAGUUCCAAUUAUGCUUAAAUCAUCAAAGAAAAUCAAAUCCAAAUUUUUUUUUCAAGAAAUCAUCAUUGGCAUCUCACCAGAAAUCUAAUGGAGAAUAAUCACUCAAGAACAAAACAAACACACACACCAACCAAGCAGGAUAAAACAAUAAAGCAACAAAAAUAUAAAAGUGAUACACAUAUCUACUCUCACCCCCCUCCCCAAACUUAUUACAGAACAUAAGUUCGAAAUAAGUUUGGAGGGAUGAUGAUAUGUGUGUCACUACUCACAGAAAACACAUGCUCCAGGUGGUGUAUACAAGGCGCGAGUUCCCGCAUCUUCCAAGCUCAACACUGCACUAAACCCCAACAAAACAGAAAACAAAGAAACAAAAGAAACUAAAACAAUAAAAAAAAAAAAAAACAAAGAAAAACAGUUGGGUUACCUCCCAACAAGUGCUUAAUUUAACGUCUAGAGCUCGACGAU
rnacentral:lncRNA from 1 species